AAGCUGCAGGUCUUAAUGAGGAUGAAGAUGAGGAGCAGAACUACAGUGAGGAGGAAGGUUAGGACAUCGAGGCUGUGAUACUGGUACCAGUGUUGUCUGCACAUUGAUCAACUGGACACCAUUUGACUUCAGAGCAACCUCUGACCUCAAGGGUUGCAAGUUAAGCGGGCACAUCGAGCCGCUCCUCUCUUAGGCCUCUGGUCAGCGGACAAAGAGCAGAGGUCAGCUUUGUCUCCACAUGGUCAUCACAGGGGUGCAGAGAAACAAACAUCUCUGAGCUUUGUUGGCACAAAGAAGCAGCAGUUCUGCUCUUUGCUUGAGUUUUCAGUCAGUGUGAAGGUAUAGUGGGAUUUGUUUAUGUAAUGGUUAAUUUUUAUGUUAGAAAGAAUUGUAACGUAUUUUUUCAUGGAUAUUAAUGAUUUUCUGUUUUCUUGAAUGUUCUUGGAGCCGUAUCAAAGAAGUUUGCGUGUUGGACACCCUUCAAAUCUUUUCCAUUUCGUCCAAUAACAGAUACGGAGAUGUUGAGGGGUUUGUUUCCUGCAAAGAAAUGCUGGAUGUUUUUAGGUGAAAAAUAACAAAUAUAAGUCUACUUUUAAAGGCAAAGUGAACUCUGCAAAUAAGCUGGAGUCUUAAAUUCUGCAGUUACUUAAGAUUUUGUCAUGAGACUUACUUUGUGUUAUUUUGUUUUUUUUAAGGAUAAAAGCGAGGAUAAAAAGUAUUCAUCACAGUCUUUUUGGUGAUACAUCUAUCGCUGCAUAUGGCCAGAGCCCCACAAACACAAGUACUGUUCUAUAAUAAAGCUAACACAUUUUUAAAUUAGCUGCUUCAGUACAUCACUUACAGUAGGUUGUGAAGAACACAAUAAAUGCAUUCAAUCACAUUUCCAGAUUUAUUGAUAUUUACUGACACUUUAAAGUAACAACCCCAGCCAACAUUUGGCUCCUUGUUUUUUUUCCUUCAAUAAGGAAAUAACCUAGGAAAUCUGGACAUUGCCUUUAGUUUUCCAGGUCAAGAUAAGUUUGGAAAAUAAAUUAAUAGAGAAAAAUGUUUGAGUUUCCUGAUUUAUUUCUUUCUUCCAAUAAAAUACAAAUAUCUAAUACUGCUCAAUAAA